GCUGCGUAGUAAAACCAGGGAUGGCGGCACGGACGUGGGAGGGACGCGGAGGCAGGGGGCCCCUCGGGCAGGGCCGGGAAACGGAGCCGCGCGGGGAGGGGGUAGCACGAGCCGAGGGGGGCUCCGAGGCGCUGGGGUCACUUGUAGGCUUCAGAGGCGGCCAGGGUGCAGCCCCCUGCGUGCCCACUGGGCGGUGCCUUGCUGGGGCGGCGGGAGGGAGGUUAUUUUUGCACAAGCUGCCUGCACCUGUGCCGUGCUGCAACUACAGCCGCAACCACUUAGAAGGACUCCGCUGCCCGCACCGGUGGACACUGAUGCUGGAGGACACUGCUAUGCCCUGCCCCAUACCCAGAACACUCUCCCUAGAAGGAGCUGACCCAGAGGCCAGCCUGGCUGUGGAAGGAGUUGCCAGUCCAAGAGCACUGGGGAUGAAGCCAGGGCCUUGCAUGUGCCAGAUGAGCACUCUGCCGCUGAGCUGCACCCUGCCAAGUGUGACCUCGUCCUAAUUGUACCUGCAAAGACUCUGUUUCCAAACUCCCUACGGCUUUAUUCACAGGUACGAGGCUAGGACUUGGACAUUUCCUUUUUAUCAGGGGGGCAAUUUAACCAACUAUAGGAGGGCAGAGUGGGGAACUCAGGCGCCAGGGGACUGGGCCAGCACCUUCCUAAAUUCUUCCCAUAAGUGUUUUAAUCCCAAUUAGCCAUGUGAGCAUUUUUGCCCUGGAUUCAGCACUAACCUGUGCUAGGCACCCCUGCCUGGCAGGACCACCCCCUGCAGUGGGCAGUCCCCGUACACAUGCCCAGCUCUUCCUGUCCGGCUCUGAAUAGCACCUCGGCAUGCCGGGGAGCCCCAGUGCUGAGCCUCCUGGGAACACAGGGACACCGAGGCACCGAAAGGGGCAACUUCACAUGUGCAGCAAGAGGAGGCCAAGGCUGGGACCCCAGCCCACCAUCCACACUGCCUCUGGCUGUGGCCCCUCCUGUGUCUGUGCAGAGGGGUGCAGCUGCAGGGGGGAGGGCUGCGCCCACCCCAGCUGGCCCAGAGAGCCGCUCGGCCCGGGAAGAAGCCCUGCCCCACAGUGCCACCCACCGCAGCUGUGCUUGGCAGGCCGGGGACAGUAAGUCCUGGCAGUUGCCAAAGCAACGCUGCCAUGGGGCAGAGGGCAGCCUGCCAAGGGUGCCCAGCCUUCCUGGGAAGGCAAGCCUGCUGCCCAAUGUUCAGAGCGGGCCGGGAGCCACCCACCCACCCAGAGGGCACACGGUGAUCUGGGAGGAGGCCACAUGGAGAGGCUCCUGGGGAGAGGAGCUAAUUCUCCUCCAUCCCCGUGCCCAGCAGGGGGGCGGUGUCCAGCAGGAGGCCCCCGCAUACCCUGCUGGCCAGCGCUCCAGACAGACGAUGGGCAGUGCCAGGCGGAGACCCCAGCCUGGGGAGGGGAUGUCUGUGCACAUGGGGGACAGGGGCCAGCAGUGUCAUCCAGAGCUGUGCAGUGGCCCCUGUGGGCCCUGCAGGGCUGCUGAACUCAGGGGACCAGGGCUGGGGCUGGAGGGGCAGCUCCAGGCAGGAAUGAAGCUGGAGGGGCUGCGGGGGACAGGCCAUCUGUCAGCUCGGGGCAGGUGCUGGCAGGAGAGUUGGAGCCCGUGCCAUCCCUCCAUCCGUCCACCAAGCUGCUGGCCCCUCCACCCCGCUGCCAGCCCCCACACGAGGCCUGGCUGCUCCCAUCCCGCUCUUCCUGGGGUUUUUGCUUUAUUAAACCAUCCUCACGCACUCUGUGGGUUUCCUUUCUUCAUUCUGGUGUAAUGAACAUAACAAAAUUAGCUACCUUAACAUGUGGCACCCAGGGGCGUUGACACCUUCACAGUGACUUGUGACCAGCACAACUGUCCAGCUCAGUGUUCUCCCUGUCCCAAGGGGAAACCUGACCCCACUGAACACCGACCGCCCUCCCCCUCCCUAGGCCUGGCCACCAGCCAUCAGUGCUCUCACUAUGGAUUUACCUAUUCUGGACCUUUCAUAAAAAUAGACUCCUACGUCCUGUCGUGUCUUCCGUGUGGCUUCCUUCACCCCACAUGUGUUCCUAAGCUCCUCCAUGUUGGGCUGAGCAAAUUCCAUCAUCUGGCUGGAACAUCUUCUUAGUCUGUUCACAUGUCACUGUUGGUGCAGCUGCUACUGAGGAGAUGCUGGCAUCCGGGGGAACCCUGCCCAGGGCUGCCUGGGAUGCCUGGGCUCAAGGCAAACCCUCUUGGAGAAUUCUGCAGGACCAGGGCCCUUCCACGGGGUGGCCAUCAUUCUGCUUAUAGGAACGUGGCCAAGGCAAGGGAGGUGCUUCUGGGACAGAGGCAAAGACAGCACGCUGGAGCCUCGUAAGGCCCAGCACAGAUGCUCAGUCCAGGAAGCUGCUGGAACACCCGAGCCCAGACACACAGGGAGUUUGUGACGCUGUGGAGUGAGGUGGCCUGUGGGAAAAGACAGCAGACAAAGCAGCUCGUGCAGGCCCUGGGUGUCGGUCACUGAGGGCGGAGGUUGCACAGCUAAACCAGGGUGGAAAAGGAGCUGCUCGGGCCUUUAUUUCCCUGUCACUAUUGAGAUGCAGUUCUGUUGCUGAAAUACAAAGAUGAAAGUCUUAGGCCUGGAAAGCAAAUGGGCAGUGAGGCAUCCCCUACAGAUAGGCCGUAGCCAGAGGGGCUUCUGAUGAGGGGUCCCUGCCCCGGUCCCCAAGGUCCCACUAUGGCAAUAGCCCUUCACAGGGUCCCCCAGAGAAGCCAGCUUGGCCCAACAGAGCCUCCUGCUCCUCCACGGCCUUAAUGUUACAGAGCAUCCUGGGCAUGGCUCCCUGGCCCCUGUAGUGGACACAGACAGCUGCUUGGCCUUGAUCACUCUAGGAGGCUCAGGUUCUCCUGCUGCUUCUCAGGCACUCGGGCCAGACUUGUUGUUUCCACUCAUAUCUUCAUCUCUUGUUUUACACGAAAGCACAGGAUAAGUUCCUAGAAAUACAAAACCUACCAAAUCUAAAGCACACAAAAUAGAAAACCCGGACAGACCUACAGCUAAUAAAGAGAUUGACUUAGUAGGCUGGGGAUUUAGCUCAGUGGUUUUGCCACCUGCUGUGCAAGCGCAAGGACCCGAGUUCGAUCCCCGGUACCAAAAACAAAGAGAUUGACUUUGCAAUCAAAAAUCUCCUGACAAAGAAAGCCCCAGACCUGCUGGCUUGAGUGCUGAAUUCUACCAAAUGCUUAGAAAACAAUGCUCUCAGAAAACAGAAGAGGAGGAAAUACUUCCUGUGUCAUUCUGAGGCUAUGCUCAGCUGGAUACCAAAGGCAGCAAAGACACCACAAGAGGAAAAAUCUACAGACCAAACCCUCAUGAACUCAUAUGUGAAUGUCCUCAGCGAAAUACAUACUGAAUCCACCUGCACAUUAAAGGACUAUCACCUUGACCAGGGUGGUUCCACACGACAGUCCAUUGGUGUAAUACACCUCUUGUCUCAGCUACUUUCUCGUCACAGACACAGUACCCAGCACUGGCAACUUCAAGGAGGAGAGGAUUAUUUUGGCUCAUGUUUCUAGUCCAAGGGAGAAACAGCUUGGGAGAGGGGCACAGCAGAGGAAGAGCUGCUCACCUCAUGGCAGACAGGAAGCACAGAGUCAAAGCAGGACCCAAGGAGGGAGAUAAAGCCAGGGACCGCCUCUUGCCACCAGACCCUACUUCCCUAAACCAAGCUAGUGCCGCUAUGGUCCAAUCACCUUCCAAACACAUGAGGCUGUGUGGGCCAUUUUAGAUCCAAACCAUAACCUCACUUUAGCAGAGUGAAUAAUAAAAAUCACAUGAUCGUGGCAACUGAUGCAGAAAAAUGAUUUGACAAAAUUCAACACCCUUUCAUGGUAGCAGCACUCAACAAAGGCGGAAGAGGAGUAAAUCAUCUCAACAGAGUGCAAACCAUCUAUGGAGAAUCCUGAGCAGUGGGUUCGCUCAGUGAAUGUGGAGACUGAUACUAUUCCUCUAAGGUCAGGAAGGGGGCAAGGGCCACUCCUGCCCCUCCUGUUCAACACAGUGCUGGAGACUUUAGCCACAGCAGUUAGGCAAGAAAAAAAUAAAAAGCAUUCACAUUGGAAAGAAAGAACUAAAAAUUAUCUCUGCUCACAGAUGAUAUGAUCUUGUACAUAGAAGAUCGUAAAGAGGUCACAAACAGAUGGCCAUGAAGUGCACAGCUGUAAUACCAGAACUCUGAGAGGCUGAGACAGGAGGGCUGCAAGUUUGAGCCCAGCCAGGACAACUCAAGACCUUGUCUCAAAAAAGAGUGGGGGGAGGGGGUGGCUGGGGAUAUAGCUCAGUGCAAAGGGGCCUGGAGUUUAAUUUCUGGUACUGAAAGAAUCCAAAAAUAAACUGUCAAAGCUAAUAAAUGGAUUCAGCAAAGUAGCAAGAAACAAAGGCCACACACAUAUAUCAGUUACAUUUGUAAACACUAACAAUAAACAAUGUGAAAAGGAAACUGCAAAAACUAAUUCCAAGUAUAA
ensembl:lncRNA